rnacentral:rRNA from 1 species
GACGAACGCUGGCGGCGUGCCUAAUACAUGCAAGUCGAACGAGAGCAACCGGUGCUUGCACUGGUCAAUCUAGUGGCGAACGGGUGAGUAACACGUGGGUAACCUGCCCAUCAGAGGGGGAUAACAUCCGGAAACGGAUGCUAAAACCGCAUAGGUCUUCGAACCGCAUGGUUUGAAGAGGAAAAGAGGCGCUAGCUUCUGCUGUUGGAUGGACCCGCGGUGCAUUAGCUAGUUGGUGAGGUAACGGCUCACCAAGGCCGUGAUGCAUAGCCGACCUGAGAGGGUGAUCGGCCACAUUGGAACUGAGACACGGCCCAAACUCCUACGGGAGGCAGCAGUAGGGAAUCUUCCGCAAUGGACGAAAGUCUGACGGAGCAACGCCGCGUGAGUGAAGAAGGUUUUCGGAUCGUAAAACUCUGUUGUUAGGGAAGAACAAGUGCGAGAGUAACUGUUAGCGCCUUGACGGUAUCUAACCAGAAAGCCACGGCUAACUACGUG